GGGCGGUUAGCUCAGCUGGGAGAGCAUCAGCCUUACAAGCUGAGGGCCACAGGUUCGAGCCCUGUACCGCCCAC
rnacentral:tRNA from 1 species